GUGAGCUAAUCAGGCAAUUUUAUGUAUGACAACGAACAACCCCAUCCUUGCAAUGAUUUUCUGCACUUUGGGUGCACUUGGCUUUGUUGUACCGUGCAGCACUUGAAGAGACAAUUAUCUCCGCUCUGUGAAGAAUGAGAUACAGAGAAGGAACUUUAAUGGCGUUCUUGAUCUGUCUUCAGGGAUAGAAGUGCACAGUCAGUCUGAGUGCAUUAAGGAUUUAACACUUCAAUGGCCUUGAGGGCAAACCUUGCUACUUUGGACUCCACCCCAAGGCUAAGUGAUAAAGUAUGAAGUGGAGGGCAGUAUGAUUCCAACAGGGGUCAAAAUGAUGUCCUGGGAACCAAGAUUGAGAAAUUGUGAGUCAAAGAGACAAUGAUAUAGAGUCACCUAAAUCCACUCAAGUCACAAACCACAAUGAAUGCUGUGAAGUGCCUUGUUUCUGGCUUCCCCACAGCCCCUACCCCUACCUGUUCACUUCAGUGCAUAAGAGAAAAGCCUCACAUAGAGGUGGGCUUUGAUUUGGCUGUGAUGGCUGAUGCUCAGCAACCACCUGAUGCUACCCCACCAAGAGGAAAGUAAGCCCUGCUGCUGGAGAAACCACAGCUGUAACAGGGAUGGAGAGUGUUAUGAGCAGAUGGGGAGGUGGCUUGCCUCAACAGUACUGGCAUGGCUUCCUGCUUGAGAAUUAGAUACAAAAAUAGAUAUUUCUUCCUAAGGGCCACACUAGCAAUGGACUAAAUCAUGUUCCAAGGACCAGUGCAUUUACUGUAUUUUUUUUUCCAUCCUUACUGGAUGGAUGACUGUUUCUAAACCUGUCUCACACUCCAUGCAGAGAGGAGAUGGGCCCAGUGCAGCCUUGAUGAAAUCUAGAGGAAGAGAAGAUUUCUGCUAUUGCUCUGCAGCAUCCUGACUGAGUUUGUUGGGAGCCAUGAGCUCUGGUGGUGUUUGCAGCAGUUCCUUCCUUUUAAUUCUCUGCAUGUGAGGAAUGCCCUGAAUGGCAAGCAGACUCUUCCCAGUAUGAAGACCCUCAAAGGACUCACUUGCAGCCCUGCUUGGAUUUGAUUUAAUAUGACAUUCUGAUAUUGCCAGGUCUGUUGUCUUUAUCUGCUGCCUUGUGAUAGCUGAAGACUUAAUGAGACCGUAAAUUUGGAAACAAAUGGUUACCUGAAAAUGUUUUUGUUUUUUUUUUUUAGUAAACACAUUUAUGAUUUUCACAAUAGAAAAGUCACUUUGAAAAUAAUUCAACUUUCUCUAGUUUAGUUUUUAUUUUCAGUCUCACAUCCAAUCUGAUUGUUUGGGAAGAGCAAAGAUUGGGUACUAAGUCACUUGUAGGGUCAGAAAGAAUGCAGCUAGAAUGAGAGGCCAUUCAGGUUCCUGGAGGGAAUUCUUGGGAUUUUGAAAAAUAAGUGGGUUUGUCAUUAACUGCCUUUGCUCACUUCAUAUUAUUUUAUUUAUGCUGCAGUUAUGUUUGUUGAUGGAUUGGCUACCUUGUCUGGCCAACUGCUUAAUCUCACUUUACCAAGUGUGGGUUUGCAGAGAUGUAGGAGCAGAUGGAUACCUUUGUUCCAGUAAAUCUUUUUUUACAG
ensembl:lncRNA